rnacentral:rRNA from 1 species
GAUCAUGGCUCAGGACGAACGCUGGCGGCGUGCCUAAUACAUGCAAGUCGAGCGGACCAAAGGGAGCUUGCUCCUGGAGGUUAGCGGCGAACGGGUGAGUAACACGUGGGCAACCUGCCUGUAAGACUGGGAUAACAUCGAGAAAUCGGUGCUAAUACCGGAUAAUAAAAAGAACUGCAUGGUUCUUUUUUGAAAGAUGGUUUCGGCUAUCACUUACAGAUGGGCCCGCGGCGCAUUAGCUAGUUGGUGAGGUAACGGCUCACCAAGGCAACGAUGCGUAGCCGACCUGAGAGGGUGAUCGGCCACACUGGGACUGAGACACGGCCCAGACUCCUACGGGAGGCAGCAGUAGGGAAUCUUCCGCAAUGGACGAAAGUCUGACGGAGCAACGCCGCGUGAGUGAUGAAGGUUUUCGGAUCGUAAAACUCUGUUGUUAGGGAAGAACAAGUGCCGUUCGAAAGGGCGGCACCUUGACGGUACCUAACGAGAAAGCCACGGCUAACUACGUG